AGAGUUUGAUCCUGGCUCAGGAUGAACGCUAGCGACAGGCUUAACACAUGCAAGUCGAGGGGCAGCACAGGUAGCAAUACCGGGUGGCGACCGGCGCACGGGUGAGUAACGCGUAUGCAACUUACCUAUCAGAGGGGGAUAGCCCGGCGAAAGUCGGAUUAAUACCCCAUGAAACAGGGGUCCCGCAUGGGAAUAUUUGUUAAAGAUUCAUCGCUGAUAGAUAGGCAUGCGUUCCAUUAGGCAGUUGGCGGGGUAACGGCCCACCAAACCGACGAUGGAUAGGGGUUCUGAGAGGAAGGUCCCCCACAUUGGUACUGAGACACGGACCAAACUCCUACGGGAGGCAGCAGUGAGGAAUAUUGGUCAAUGGGCGUAAGCCUGAACCAGCCAAGUCGCGUGAGGGAUGAAGGUUCUAUGGAUCGUAAACCUCUUUUAUAAGGGAAUAAAGUGCGGGACGUGUCCCGUUUUGUAUGUACCUUAUGAAUAAGGAUCGGCUAACUCCGUGCCAGCAGCCGCGGUAAUACGGAGGAUCCGAGCGUUAUCCGGAUUUAUUGGGUUUAAAGGGUGCGUAGGCGGCCUUUUAAGUCAGCGGUGAAAGUCUGUGGCUCAACCAUAGAAUUGCCGUUGAAACUGGGGGGCUUGAGUAUGUUUGAGGCAGGCGGAAUGCGUGGUGUAGCGGUGAAAUGCUUAGAUAUCACGCAGAACCCCGAUUGCGAAGGCAGCCUGCCAAGCCAUGACUGACGCUGAUGCACGAAAGCGUGGGGAUCAAACAGGAUUAGAUACCCUGGUAGUCCACGCAGUAAACGAUGAUCACUAGCUGUUUGCGAUACAGUGUAAGCGGCACAGCGAAAGCGUUAAGUGAUCCACCUGGGGAGUACGCCGGCAACGGUGAAACUCAAAGGAAUUGACGGGGGCCCGCACAAGCGGAGGAACAUGUG
rnacentral:rRNA from 1 species